UACGGGGGGGGCAAGCGUUGUUCGGAAUUACUGGGCGUAAAGGGCUCGUAGGCGGCCAACUAAGUCGGAUGUGAAAUCCCCAGGCUUAACCUGGGAACUGCAUCCGAUACUGGAUGGCUUGAAUCCGGGAGAGGGAUGCAGAAUUCCAGGUGUAGCGGUGAAAUGCGUAGAUAUCGGGAGGAACACCAGUGGCGAAGGCGACUACCUGGCCUGUUCUUGACGCUGAGGCGCGAAAGCUAGGGGAGCAAACGGG
rnacentral:rRNA from 1 species